rnacentral:rRNA from 1 species
GAUGAACGCUAGCGGGAGGCCUAACACAUGCAAGCCGAGCGGUAUUGUUUCUUCGGAAAUGAGAGAGCGGCGUACGGGUGCGGAACACGUGUGCAACCUGCCUUUAUCUGGAGGAUAGCCUUUCGAAAGGAAGAUUAAUACUCCUUAAUAUAUUAAUUGGCAUCAAUUGAUAUUGAAAACUCCGGUGGAUAGAGAUGGGCACGCGCAAGAUUAGCUAGUUGGUGAGGUAACGGCGCACCAAGGCAAUGAUCUUUAGGGGGCCUGAGAGGGUGAUCCCCCACACUGGUACUGAGACACGGACCAGACUCCUACGGGAGGCAGCAGUGAGGAAUAUUGGUCAAUGGGUGCAAGCCUGAACCAGCCAUCCCGCGUGAAGGAUUAAGGUCCUAUGGAUUGUAAACUUCUUUUGUAUAGGGAUAAACCUACCCUCGUGAGGGUAGCUGAAGGUACUAUACGAAUAAGCACCGGCUAACUCCGUGCCAGCAGCCGCCGUAAUAC